AAGUCGAACGUGAAGCCCGGAGCUUGCUCUGGGUGGAAAGUGGCGAACGGGUGAGGAACACGUGAGGAACCUGCCCCGAAGACCGGGAUAACACCGGGAAACCGGUGCUAAUACCGGAUGCCCUCAUCGGAACUCAUGUUCUGAUGAGGAAAUGGAUUCCGCUUCGGGAUGGCCUCGCGGCCUAUCAGCUUGUUGGUGGGGUAACGGCCCACCAAGGCUUCGACGGGUAGCUGGUCUGAGAGGAUGUCCAGCCACACUGGGACUGAGACACGGCCCAGACUCCUACGGGAGGCAGCAGUAGGGAAUCUUGCGCAAUGAGCGAAAGCUUGACGCAGCGACGCCGCGUGCGGGAUGAAGGCCCUCGGGUCGUAAACCGCUUUCAGCAGGGACGAAACUGACGGUACCUGCAGAAGAAGCCCCGGCCAACUACGUGCCAGCAGCCGCGGUAAUACGUAGGGGGCAAGCGUUGUCCGGAUUUAUUGGGCGUAAAGAGCUCGUAGGCGGUUCGACAAGCCGACGGUGAAAUCUCCACGCUCAACGUGGAGGGGUCCGUCGGAACUGUCGUGACUAGAGUCCGGUAGGGGAGUGUGGAAUUUCCGGUGUAGCGGUGAAAUGCGCAGAGAUCGGAAGGAACACCCGUAGCGAAGGCGGCACUCUGGGCCGGUACUGACGCUGAGGAGCGAAAGCGUGGGGAGCAAAC
rnacentral:rRNA from 1 species